rfam:Zostera marina strain Finnish scaffold_259, whole genome shotgun sequence.
UCCAUUGUACUUCAGUGGUUAGGAUACCUAGUUUUCACCCAGGUGACCCGGGUUCGAAUCCCGGUGUUGGAA